AUUAGGUUCACACAUAGUAGACAUAUAUAAACUUACAACCAAAGUACAAAACACCUUUCUCUCCCAGCUUAGAUACAACUCAAAAAGGAAAAUCAAUUUGCAGUUUAAAUACAAAGAUACAUUUCCAACAGAGGGUGCACACCAUGGUGAGGUCUCUUGCUGAAACCAAGUCUCUGCCUUCAGUGUGAACAGCUUGCUGAUCCCCAGAAGAGACUCUCCCAGCUCCCCAACCCCAGCCCCUUUGAAGGGGGAUCUGGGAGUAAUUUGCUUUCACUUGACCCAAUGUCUCAUUUACAUAUUAAAUCCCACCCCUGCUCUUUUCUCAUUGGUUAGGACAAUAGUCAGUUAUGAGAUGGGCCCUUGUGCUUAAACUCAUUUCCUGAGGUUAGCUAGGAAGUGAGAAAACUCUGGAGGGUGAGGGUGGAGGCCUCAGGAUGGAAUAAAUUCCAGUGAGGGUUUAGCUAUGUCUUUCCCCUUCUUCCUGGCAGAGUCCAGAGCUCUUAACGUUCACCCAUUACCUCACUUACUUCUUACUCAAAGGUGAAGAAGUUGGCAGGGCAAGUUCAUUCCAGGGCUUUGAGGAUUUCACCCCCUGUCUCC
rnacentral:lncRNA from 1 species